GGGUGAGUAACGCGUUGGGAUCUGUCUUAAACAGGGGGAUAACGUCUGGAAACGGGCGCUAAUACCGCAUAAGUCUACGGAUAAAAGGAGAAAUCCGGUUUAAGGGGAGCCUGCGUGCGAUUAGCUGGUUGGUGAGGUAAUGGCUCACCAAGGCAACGAUCGCUAGUUGGUCUGAGAGGAUGGCCAGCCACAGUGGGACUGAGACACGGCCCACACUCCUACGGGAGGCAGCAGUAGGGAAUAUUGCGCAAUGGGCGAAAGCCUGACGCAGCAAUUCCGCGUGGAGGAUGACGGUUCUAGGACUGUAAACUCCUGUCAGUAGGGAAGAGAAAAAGGACGGUACCUACAGAGGAAGCACCGGCUAACUACGUGCCAGCAGCCGCGGUAAUACGUAGGGUGCGAGCGUUGUCCGGAAUUAUUGGGCGUAAAGCGUCCGUAGGCGGUUAUGCAAGUCUAAUGUUAAAGGUUCCGGCUCAACCGGGGUAUGGUGUUGGAAACUGUGUGACUAGAGUGUGGUAGAGGUUACUGGAAUUCCUAGUGUAGCGGUGAAAUGCGUAGAUAUUAGGAGGAACACCGGUGGCGAAAGCGUGUAACUGGGCCACAACUGACGCUAAUGGACGAAAGCCGGGGUAGCGAAAGGGAUUAGAUACCCCUGUAGUCCCGGCUGUAAACGAUGGAUACUAGGUGUUGGGUGAAUCGACCCAUUCAGUGCCGAAGCUAACGCGAUAAGUAUCCCGCCUGGGGAGUACGACCGCAAGGUUGAAACUCAAAGGAAUUGACGGGGACCCGCACAAGCGGUGGAACAUGUGGUUUAAUUCGAUGCAACGCGAAGAACCUUACCUGGGCUUGACAUCUACUGAAUCAUGGCGAAAGUUGUGAGUGCCUUUCGGGGAGCAGUAAGACAGGUGGUGCAUGGUUGUCGUCAGCUCGUGUCGUGAGAUGUUGGGUUAAGUCCCGCAACGAGCGCAACCCACGUCGUAUGUUGUUACAGUGUUUAGGCAGCUGAACCCUCAUGCGAGACUGCCGGUGAUAAGCCGGAGGAAGGUGUGGAUGACGUCAAAUCAUCAUGCCCCUUAUGUCCAGGGCUACACACGUGUUACAAUGGGAUGGGACAAUAAGCAGCUUACCGGCGACGGUUGGCAAAUCUAUAAACCCACCCUCAGUUCGGAUCGUACUCUGCAACUCGAGUGCGUGAAGUUGGAAUCGCUAGUAAACGCAGAUCAGCACGCUGCGUUGAAU
rnacentral:rRNA from 1 species